UGUGUGUGAUUUGGUGGUUGUGCUGGGAGUGUUGUGGGGCCACAAACAAGGCCCUGGUCCCUUGGUAAGAUGCUCUGAAACCAGUGUAGUGACAGGUUAAGAAUUGCAAACAAGAGACAACAAGAUGUUAUAAAAACAGCAAAAUCAACAAGAUUCUCAAGACGGUGUUCGAGCUAUGCAGAGAAACAGGAAACAGCAAAACAUUAAUGUUUGUAAUAUAUCACAUUUCUGUCCUCUGCCCUGCAGGCUCUAAAAAGGGACUUCCGUGGCGUGGUGCGUUUCGGGGUGGUGACCAACAGACAGGUGGCAGAGGCCAUCUCACUUAAAGAAGAUGGAACCGUUUACCUCCACAGAAGAUUUAACUCCUCUUUGAGAGGCCUUCAUCAGGAACUUCAGCGCUCCGUACAGCCUCUUGCAGAGACAUUUGGUGGGAGAGGAGGACAAGAAAGGGGGCGGAGGGGAAGCCAAACGUCCAGACCAACACCUCCUGUGUUUUAUGGUUGAUGUCCAUUAGUUCAACUGUUCAAACGCUCACAUCACUUAAAUAACCCAUCCAGAUUUCUUGCGUUGUCUCUUGAAGACCCUUUCUUCAGAUAAACUUCCUUUUCCCCUUCACAGGUAUCACAUUUAUAGACUAGACUCAUGUAAAACAUGUCUGGUCCUUUACCAGGUGGAAAUUUACAACAUAUAUUAAUAAUGUAAUGAUUAAUGAUUGUUUACUUC